UACGUAGGGUGCAAGCGUUAAUCGGAAUUACUGGGCGUAAAGCGUGCGCAGGCGGUGAUGUAAGACAGAUGUGAAAUCCCCGAGCUCAACUUGGGAACUGCAUUUGUGACUGCAUCGCUGGAGUGCGGCAGAGGGGGAUGGAAUUCCGCGUGUAGCAGUGAAAUGCGUAGAUAUGCGGAGGAACACCGAUGGCGAAGGCAAUCCCCUGGGCCUGCACUGACGCUCAUGCACGAAAGCGUGGGAGCAAACAGG
rnacentral:rRNA from 1 species